rnacentral:rRNA from 1 species
UACAGAGGUCUCAAGCGUUGUUCGGAUUCAUUGGGCGUAAAGGGUGCGUAGGUGGCAUGGUAAGUCGGAUGUGAAAUCCCGGGGCUCAACCCCGGAACUGCAUUCGAUACUGCUGAGCUAGAGUACUGGAGAGGAGAUUGGAAUUUACGGUGUAGCAGUGAAAUGCGUAGAUAUCGUAAGGAAGACCAGUGGCGAAGGCGGAUCUCUGGACAGUUACUGACACUGAGGAGCGAAAGCAUGGGGAGCGAACAGG